CCUACGGGAGGCAGCAGUGAGGAAUAUUGGUCAAUGGCCGGAAGGCUGAACCAGCCAUGCCGCGUGAAGGUCAGUGCCCUAUGGGCGUUAAACUUCUUUUGUGCGGGAGCAAUAAUGGUCACGUGUGGCUAGACGAGAGUACCGUACGAAUAAGCAUCGGCUAACUCCGUGCUAUCAGCCGCGGGAAUACGGGGGAUGCAAGCGUUAUCCGGAUUUCUUGGGUUGAAAGGGUGCGUAGGCUGGGAGGUAAACCAGCGGGGAAAUGCCCCCGCUCAACGGGGUGAAGUGCCAUGGAUACUGCCUUGCUGGAAUGCGGAUGCCGUGGGAGGAAUGUGUGGUGUAGCGGUGAAAUGCAUAGAUAUCACACAGAACACCGAUUGCGAAGGCAUCUCACGAAUCCGCGAUUGACGCUGAUGCACGAAAGCGUGGGUAUCAAACAGGAUUAGAUACCCUAGUAGUC
rnacentral:rRNA from 1 species